GAACUUAGAAACUCGUUCGUAAAAGCGCAAAAGGCAGUAGCUAUUUAGGAGGUUUGCAGUAAAGAUAAAAUGCUCAAAGUAAAUGCAAACCGAGAUUUAGAGUGGUUCGGUCAAUCUUGACCUACUCCACUUUUGGCUUCCUCCACCGACAAGGUCACCGACGUCAACUAGAGGCCUUCCUUCAAUAGGCGAAGGCCAACC
rnacentral:lncRNA from 1 species